rnacentral:rRNA from 1 species
GGAUUAGAUACCCUGGUAGUCCACACCGUAAACGAUGUGUGCUAGUUGUCGGGCUCUUAGAGUUCGGUGACGCCGCUAACGCAUUAAGCACACCGCCUGGGGAGUACGGCCGCAAGGUUAAAACUCAAAGGAAUUGACGGGGACCCGCACAAGCGGUGGAGCAUGUGGUUUAAUUCGAAGCAACGCGAAGAACCUUACCAGGCCUUGACAUCCCGAUCGCGGAGGACAGAGAUGACCUCUUUCAGUUCGGCUGGAUCGGUGACAGGUGCUGCAUGGCUGUCGUCAGCUCGUGCUG